rnacentral:misc_RNA from 1 species
AACGCAUAUUGCGCUCGAGCCCUCGGGCAAGAGCAUGUCUGCCUCAGCGUCGGUUUAUACCCUCACCCCUCCCAUUGUGUGGGUCGGUUGACUCGGUGUUAGUUAGCCGUAGGGGUGGAUCUGGCCUCCCCAAUUGGUUUUAUUACGAAUUGGGUUGGCUGAAGCACAGAGGCUUAAACAAGGACCCGACAUGGGCUUCAACUGGAUAGGUAGUACCGGCUUCUGCCGCCUACACGAAGUUGUAGCUUGUGGACUUUGUUAGGGGCCAAGCAGGAAACAUGCUUGAUUGCAUGCCCAAACUUUCGACUGAGCUCAGGCAAGGCUACCCGCUGAACUUAA